AUCUUUCAUGCUUGCGCUUGCUAGUCCGGGAAGGGAAACACUGGCUGAAUAACUUAUUGUGACCUUGUUUGUUGUGGUAUCUUCAAGUAAUGAAGAGUCGACUUGAUCAACUUUGACAAUGGAAGCCCCGGCGUCGACACUGGUUAGAACGUGUGUACCGAAAUCACGAACCAGCAGUUCGCUCUCGUACUUAGUGGACAGCUUCCGGUUCUGUUGAAUUUGUCCAGCGAUUCUGAGAAGACGAUUGCGGAAAGACUGGUCAAGCUGUACGUCUGGAAGAACUUUCGCUGUGUAUCGGACAAACCUCGCCUGAACUUUGGUAGUAAACGAUUUAUCUUCCAACUGGUGCUUUUUGAUGUGUUCAUAUUCGGCGGAGAAACUUGCAGCAAUUUUCACACCUUUGAUGGUCGCCGAAGCUCCGUUGUUGACAGAAAACGCCGUAUCCGAUUCAUACUGAGACCAGUGGUCAUAGAGCUUGGAAAAAACGUUCAUUUGACUCGUCUUGACAGGAAUGGUGACGACCCCGUCUGGAAGAAGAUACCGCCUGUCCUCUGUUGUCUUGCAUUUUGAAUAAUUGAAAUUCACGACAACGCCCCGGUUUUCGUUGACAAGGUUAUCCCAACCAAAUCCAGGCAGAACUUCAAACAUAAAAGGCUUUUCUCCUUUCCCAUCAUAGCAGGCUCGAGGAUCCCCUAUGGUAAAGUUCGAGGCGUCCACGGUCCAUAGUGAAAUAGCCAAACAAACCAGAAAGGGCGAGAACAUUUCCGCUCUUUUGUCUACACACACAUGAGCCGAUUGGGCCAGUGUAAAGUAUAUAAAGUACAUCGAUUAACGAGGAAGUAAAUACUGAGGUCCAGGAAUAAAUAGGAAAUAUCGUAUUUAAUGAAUAAAUAGGGAAAUAUUUAAAAUUUGAUUCAGAAUUUAUUAAUGAGGAAAUAGUUAUAUUUCAUUAGAAGUUUAGUUAAUAUCAAAUUACGAUCUAUAUAAUUUUUUAUGUUGAUAUAGUUUGUAAAUAUGCAAACAACUGUGCUAGGUGAAUCAUGCUUGUACAACUAACUCGUCCCUUAAGGCUCACGCUGAGAUGUCACGGAAGUAGUUCAAGUUUUUCAAAUACACUCUGAAUGACUUCUACCAAAGUCCAAAUACAUGUUAGUAUGCAUGUUUAAGAUGCAUAGGUCUAAUAAAAUCUGUUAUUCUCU
rnacentral:sRNA from 1 species